GACGAACGCUGGCGGCGUGCUUAACACAUGCAAGUCGAACGGAAAGGCCCUGCUUUUGUGGGGUGCUCGAGUGGCGAACGGGUGAGUAACACGUGAGUAACCUGCCCUUGACUUUGGGAUAACUUCAGGAAACUGGGGCUAAUACCGGAUAGGAGCUCCUGCUGCAUGGUGGGGGUUGGAAAGUUUCGGCGGUUGGGGAUGGACUCGCGGCUUAUCAGCUUGUUGGUGGGGUAGUGGCUUACCAAGGCUUUGACGGGUAGCCGGCCUGAGAGGGUGACCGGCCACAUUGGGACUGAGAUACGGCCCAGACUCCUACGGGGGGCAGCGGUGGGGAAUAUUCCACAAGGGGCGGAGGCCUGAUGCAGCACCCCCGCGUGCGGGAUGACGGCCUUCGGGUUGUAAACCGCUUUCGCCUGUGACGAAGCGGGGGUGGCGGUAAUGGGUAAAGAAGCCCCGGCUAACUACGU
rnacentral:rRNA from 1 species